rnacentral:rRNA from 1 species
UACGUAGGGCGCAAGCGUUUAUCCGGAAUUAUUGGGCGUAAAGAGCUCGUAGGCGGUUUGUCGCGUCUGCUGUGAAAUCCCCAGGCUCAACUUGGGGCGUGCAGUGGGUACGGGCAGACUAGAGUGCGGUAGGGGAGACUGGAAUUCCUGGUGUAGCGGUGGAAUGCGCAGAUAUCAGGAGGAACACCGAUGGCGAAGGCAGGUCUCUGGGCCGUUACUGACGCUGAGGAGCGAAAGCAUGGGGAGCGAACAGG